UACGUAGGGCGCAAGCGUUGUCCGGAAUUAUUGGGCGUAAAGAGCUCGUAGGCGGCCAGUUGCGUCUGCUGUGAAAUCCCGGGGCUCAACCCCGGGCGUGCAGUGGAUACGGGCUGGCUAGAGGCAGGCAGGGGAGAACGGAAUUCCCGGUGUAGCGGUGAAAUGCGCAGAUAUCGGGUGGAACACCGGUGGCGAAGGCGGUUCUCUGGGCCUGUACUGACGCUGAGGAGCGAAAGCGUGGGGAGCGAACAGG
rnacentral:rRNA from 1 species